UGCCUGUUUGUAUAAUAAUAAUAAUAAUAAUAAUAAUAAUAAUAAUAAUAAUAAAUAAAUAAACCAGAAGACUUUGUAGCACAGGUAGGAAGUCUGUGGCUCUUGGACAAUAUCAGAAGAUAUCUGGUCCAAAAAAUAUAAAAAUGAGUGUUUGAAUUAAACACAGGGCUCUACCCAUUUGUCUCCCAGGGUCCCAGGUAAUCUGCUUAAGUAAGUGCAAGGGCAAAUUUCGACUUGAGUGCUACAGAUGAAAGAGGCACGCAUACUUUAAUUAUUACGCUUAAUGUCUAUCGACCACUUUGAAGAUGACCUAAUCAUGCUCUAUGAAAUCCCUUGCCCUACUCCCCACUCCCUUGCAGGAGAACUACAGUGGUGGAUGUUGCCCCCUAGUGGCCCAAACAGAAUAAGGUACAAUUCUAAUAGGAUAAUAAUUUUGGUAUGGGGUUAUCUCAGUUUGUCAUUAGCUGAGAUACAAUACACAGAAAUCACUGGUAAAAUAAUCAGUAUGUAUAAAAAUAUUAUAUCCUGUGCUCUAAGCUUAUCAAAUUAUGUUUUAUAGUUGUACGUAGCAUGAAAGUGCAUGCAGCUUUUGACAUUUUUUUCAAUACACAAUUUCUUCUCCAAGUCCAUCUUAGCAAUAAUUAAUUGUAUGGAUAAAGUUUCAUACAAAUUGUUCAGGAUCAUGUGAAAUGUAACAUUUGGAUCUGUAUGUUAUCACCCAAUAUGCAGGGCCAUUUUGUGCUGAGAUACAGUGCCUCUCAAUUAUGUAUGACCAAUUGUAGCUGUACCAUUGGGGAAUGUAAUCGAAUAUAGCCUUAAGAUCCUAGCAGUAACAGUAACAUUACAUUAAUAUUGUCCAAGUAUUCUAGGUACAUGGAACAUUAUGGCCAAACAUCUCCAAGGUUCCAAUACCAGUCUGCAUGCUACACUCCUCCAAACAAGAAGAAGAAGCAGUUUGGGCAAGAAUUGUAAGCACCUCUAGAUUAAUUGGCCAUCUGGAUUCAAGGAAACUACAGGAAACAAAACGUAUUAUGCCAGAUGGAAGAAACAAUAUUUUCUACUUAUUGGUCAUAUUCCUGCAUGUCCGCAAGUCAAAGGAUAUGGAGGUUUUGGGCAAAUCAGUCUUGGUCCGUGAUCUAGGAUUCAAGGUGUAGGCAAUGUUUGAUAACAUACAAUUGAAUACAACAUCCAGAGAACUCGCUAUGAUAUGUAUACAUCCUGGUAUAGAAAUAAUAAAAUGAAAAUCUACUUUAAUAAUUAAUUUAUCAAUACUUUUCAUGUUAUAUUCAAUAAAACAGCUUACUGAGGUGUGCAAGUAGUGCUCAUCUGCUGUCACCUACUGGUGAAUGAAUAUAUUGAGACUCACUUGAGUUAAUAUUUGUAAACAUGGAUGUUUUUAUUUAUAUUGUAUUUUCUGGGCAUAUAUAGUCUUAACCCCUUAAGGACUGAGCCAAAUGUACACGUUGUGAGCAAAACAAAACGUAAACAAAACCUGGCAUUUGCGCUACAUGUCUGUCCAACCGUAAUUCACCUCUUUCAUAUUAAAUGCACCAACACUUAUUAUAUAUCAUUUUAUUCAGUGGAAACAGGGCUUUCAUUUAAUAUCAAAUAUUUAGCUAUGAAACAUAAUUUAAUAUGAAAAAAAUGGGAGAAAAUAAGAACUUUUGUUAUUUUUUUAGUUCUAAAUGACAUUUUAACUGUCAAUGUCCUAAUACUAUUUGCUUUUACUGCAAUAAAAUACACAUAUUUGUAUUUAGCAAAGUCUAACGUGUAAAACAGUACCCCCUAUGUACAGGUUUUAUGGCGUUUUGGGAAGUUACAGGGUCAAAUAUAGCACGUUACAUUUGCCAGAUUGGUUACGUUGCCUUUGGGAC